rnacentral:tRNA from 1 species
UCCCUGGUUGUCCAAUGGCUAAGACUCCACACUCCCAAUGCAGGGGACCCAGGUUCAAUCCCUGGUCGGGGAA